rnacentral:lncRNA from 1 species
CUUUGCAGUGUUCUUCCUUCCUAGUCAACUUUCCUUUUUCAAACCUAUACUAUUGUUGGUAAAUUAUUUUUACCAAGCCACGAGUUGGAUCACUUCCCAAUGCCAGGGCUCUGAUACCCUGCCUCGCACAGGGCUCUAGCUGUGCCCUUUUAAAAGCCAAGGUGUAUCACGGAUUUAGAACUAAGUGGCCUUCAUCAUGUUGCCAUCUUUCUUUGCUCUUUCAUUUCUUCGCUGCUCUCUCUUUUCUCCAAAUGUGCUUUUUUCUUUUCUCUUUCUACUUUGCCUCUUUUUUCCAGGAGGGAUAAGACUGAGAAGAAGGAAUGGAAGAGAAAAUCGCUUUGGGUGAAAGGGAAGGGGAGUGAGAAGGGGUCACCUGGUACCCAGAAGACGGGCCAGCCUUCAUGCAGAAGGUAAAUGGAGGGAAACCAUCCCAGAGCAAGCACUAAAGCAGCAAGGAAGAAGUAGCACAGAUUGGCGUUCUCCUCUGUAUGGAUGGAGACAGUGAGUGAUGCCCAGGAGUGCUUUCUGUGUCCUCUGUGUAACCCCUGUUGGCUUGCACUGAGUUCUUCAUGCAUCUGGGUGAAUAGCAGGAGUCUUGCUGUCCACCUUCCCAAGAUGAGGCUUCCAUUCUCCUCUCAUCUUCCCACGACAGGCUUUUCCUGCCCAAGGAGGGGUUUAGAUUGUGAUUCAGAAAGUCUCCUGCAUGCCACCAUGGUAAGACAUUUUAGCAGGUGACAGGGAAUGCGUGGGGCACCGGAGACCUGGCUUGAGUCCCAGCUGCAUGCUGAUAACCUCACUGAACGCCAUUUUUUCUCAUCUGGAGGGUGGGACUGAGAAGCUCUGUUCUGGGAAGAAUGAUGGCUACCACACUCCUGGGCAUCUUCCAGCUUUCUUCCUUAGACAUUCAGCAGCCUGAGCUUACAUGAGGUAUGAGGCCAGAUGACCUUAAAAGAACCUUAAGAAAGGCUAAAGAGCCUCUUAUUUUUAGGCUGAGUCUGGGUGCAAAGGUUCUUGGGUUCUGAGUAGGAUCUGUUUGGUUGGGGUAUUCUGAGAUGCCCUUGGCUUUUAAAGACUCCGUGGAUUCUCGUUAGUAUAACAGCAGGUGAUUUUUAAGCACAUACCUUAUGUAAGCUCUGAUUUGGUGGUUCGUACUCUUUGAAUUAUUUAAUCUUUAUCACCUGCCUAUGAGGUAAGUAUUAUUAUUCUCAUUUUAUGGAUAAGAAAACUGACACUGAGAGAGUCCUGAACAAUGGGUCUAAGAUCUCACAUCUGAUAAGUGUGAGAGUUGGGUUUCAAUUGGUCUGUUGACUCCCGCUUCCAUCUUUACGCUAUUCAUUGUUAGCUCUCCAGAAAUCUAAGAAUCCAAGUUGAGCAACUCCCUAGAGCAAGCAACUCUGUCCAUCAGAACAUUUUCUGCAAUGAUGGAAAAGUUCUGUUCUGCUCUGUCCAAUAUGAUAACCAUUAUCCACUUGAAAUGUUGCUAGUGUGACAGAACUGAGUUUUAAAUUUUAUUUGAUUUUAAUUAAUUUAAAUUUAGGUAACUCAUGUGACUGGUGGUUACCAUAUUGGAUAGUGUAGCCCUAGAGCUUGCGUUUUGCUGAUGCAAGUCCUCAAGGAGAUUCCAGGAGCUCCUAAUCAAUGGCUCCUGCUCACACUCCUUCCACUCUACUCCCAUAUAUGGGCACACACUUAAUGAUUACUCUCCUAUGAUUCUAUAGUAAACUGUACUUUAACUUUUGGUUUCUGAUCUUUACUUUCUGGGUUUCCAGUUUCCCAACUAAGCUCCAUAUGCUCUUUCUCCUGCUCUGCAGAACUCACUUUGCUUCUUGUCCACUAGGAAGUUUAGAUUCUCACAGUCUUAUGAGGCACUGGGGACUCUGCCUUGGCUCUGUAGCUGUGAUUGACAAUCCUUUUAGCCCUCCAGAAGUGGCUGAUGCUUGGGUACAUAG